GGAAUGUGUUGGAGAUUGAUUUCAAGUAAUGGAUACUAGUUUUUACAAACAAUUAGUUUUUCAUCAAUGCUCUUUCUUUGAAUUUAGAUUUGCUCAGUGUUCAAAUUGGCCGUGGAAGCACAGAAGAACUUUUUCCAAAUAUUGACGAGAGCUGUUUGUCAAUGACGUCAUGGAUGUUUCCGGUAAUGUAGGAGGGUCUAAUCUGUCAUUUUUUGCUGUUGUCAAAUUGUAACUGCGACAGGAGAUGGUUUUCGCCUUUGUGCUGUUUGAAGGAAUCCAGAAAGCACGUCACGUGCCUCUUUAUCUUCACAAAAUUAUAUGAAAUAUAUUGUAUAUUGAUAUGACUAAUUGAUAGCGUUGUAAUUAGUGAUUUGAUAGUAAGCUAGUUAAUUUAGAGAUUGAUGGAAUAUCUGAAAGCAAAUAGCUAUUUUCAAAAUGCUCCAAAGAA